rnacentral:rRNA from 1 species
CGUGUAGGCGGGCAGAUAAGUCAGACGUGAAAUUUCCCUGCUCAACGGGGAAACGGCGUUUGAAACUAUCUGUCUUGAGUACGGGAGAGGAAAGUGGAAUUCCUGGUGUAGCGGUGAAAUGCGUAGAUAUCAGGAGGAACACCGGUGGCGAAGGCGGCUUUCUAGCCCGAUACUGACGCUGAGGCGCGAAGGCUAGGGUAGCAAACA